AAAGGAAUUAAGGGCGUA
rnacentral:rRNA from 1 species